CAGUAGCCGCGGGAAUACAGAGGGUGCGAGCGUUAAUCGGAUUUACUGGGAGUAAAGCGUGCGUAGGCGGCUUCUUAAGUCGGAUGUGAAAUCCCUGAGCUUAACUUAGGAAUUGCAUUCGAUACUGGGAAGCUAGAGUAUGGGAGAGGAUGGUAGAAUUCCAGGUGUAGCGGUGAAAUGCGUAGAGAUCUGGAGGAAUACCGAUGGCGAAGGCAGCCAUCUGGCCUAAUACUGACGCUGAGGUACGAAAGCAUGGGGAGCAAACAGGAUUAGAUACCCGCGUAGUCCCUGUCUCUUAUAC
rnacentral:rRNA from 1 species